rnacentral:rRNA from 1 species
UGAGGAAUAUUGGACAAUGGAGGCAACUCUGAUCCAGCCAUGCCGCGUGAAGGAAUAAGGCCCUAUGGGUUGUAAACUUCUUUUAGACGGGACAAAACCCCCUUACGUGUAAAGGGUUGAUGGUACUGUCAGAAUAAGCACCGGCUAACUCCGUGCCAGCAGCCGCGGUAAUACGGAGGGUGCAAGCGUUAUCCGGAUUUACUGGGUUUAAAGGGUGCGUAGGCGGAUGAAUAAGUCAGUGGUGAAAUCUCCGAGCUUAACUCGGAAACUGCCGUUGAUACUAUUUGUCUUGAAUAUUGUGGAGGUAAGCGGAAUAUGUCAUGUAGCGGUGAAAUGCUUAGAUAUGACAUAGAACACCAAUUGCGAAGGCAGCUUGCUACACAAUCAUUGACGCUGAGGCACGAAAGCGUGGGGAUCAAACA